rnacentral:lncRNA from 1 species
CCCUGCCUCCAUUCCCCAUCUUGUGUGAAACGAAAUAAGUAAUUUUCAUCUUAGCUUCUCACCGAUAGUGAUCUGCGUCACGAAAUCAUCACACACCAGACACUCUGCUCAAUUGCAAGUGCUGGAAGCCUGAUAGCUGAGCCUCUGCUGCAGAGAUGCUCAGGAAGGAGUUUCUAUGGCUUCUCAAAGGCAUCUCUUCUUACAGGCCUGUGUCUUGGCUGCUGAGAAACUUUCUGAAGAGAUCCACCACCUUAAAAAGAACUUAUUUUCCUCCCUACCUGUACAAACCAGUGUCUCAGCUACUGGGGAAAGCAGUGACCUGUGGAGGCCAGAGAAGCAAACUAGUAAGCAGGGAGAAAAAUGGACUCUUCACAGUUCCCGAUCUAAGCAGGGGGACUUUCCAAAGACGGAACUGCCUUCAAAAACAGUGUCACUGAACUGGCAGGAUCAGCCAACUGCAUCAGCCACAGAAAAAGAAACUACAGAAGAACAAAAUGCAGUGGAGUUCUUCUUCACUUACUAGAGAGGAGAGUGGAAGCUGAGGCCCAGGUGUCCAACAAAAAAACACCAUUAGAGAAGUUGUAGGCUUCAGAGCAAGAAGGCUGUGUCACUGAUUAAAGCAUCAGAGCUGCCAAAGGAGACCAAACAACUACCAGCAAAAGAAAUCAGAAGCAGAGCAGCAG